CAGUAGCCGCGGGAAUACGGAGGGGGCUAGCGUUGUUCGGAAUUACUGGGCGUAAAGCGCACGUAGGCGGCUUGGUAAGUUAGAGGUGAAAGCCUGGAGCUCAACUCCAGAAUUGCCUUUAAGACUGCCGAGCUAGCAGGUGAGAGAGGUAAGUGGAAUUCCGAGUGUAGAGGUGAAAUUCGUAGAUAUUCGGAAGAACACCAGUGGCGAAGGCGGCUUACUGGCUCAUACUGGACGCUGAGGUGCGAAAGCGUGGGGAGCAAACAGGAUUAGAGACCCCCGUAGUCCCUGUCUCUUAUAA
rnacentral:rRNA from 1 species